GGCCGCCUGGCGAAAUGGCAUCGCGUCUGACUACGAUGUGGUGUUAUCAGGAGAUUGCAGGUUCGACCCCUGCGGUGGUCA
rnacentral:tRNA from 1 species